GCGUGCCCUAGUCGACGCGCCCCCUCGGCCGGCUGCGGCUACAAUGUUACUCUUACUACUGUACUUCUCGCUCCAAAAUUCCACUCCCCGCACCCACAAUGCUCCGCGCCUUAAAGGGGCCGCGGACGCGGACAAGCGGGGGUUGGGUGGGGGUGGGUGGAGCGUGCUUAAACUGGCAACGCAGAACGCUCGACUUCCGCAAUUUCCCUCCUUCUUAACGUUCUUGCCUAGAGGGGUUGGUAAGGGGUGACACCCCCAACUCAGCCCUGGGAAGGUAGGCAGCCAAGGCUCCACCCCUUGCUGCCCCUCAAGGCCCGCCCGGCUGCCAGCUAAGCAGGACCAUCCCAGCUACGGAACGGGUGAGAGGCGAGGGAACCCUCCCGGUGCCGGCUCUCGGGAGCCACCUCCCCCCGCCACCGGCUCGGUGGAUCACCUAUGUCCUUCCCAGGCUUCUGCCUCCGACCCGCAGGCCCCGCCCAGAAUGACGUCACCACCGUGGCCCUGCCUCUUAGGACGCCUGCUGGCCUGGGUGAGGUGUCUCUAUCCAAGGAAGUCAUCAGUUCCAGUUUGACAAAAGAGUAAACUGAGGCCUGGGGCAGGAAAUGAAUCCGGCCCAGGACCCUGUUGCUUGAGCCCCCAAACCCCCUAAAAUCAAGGUGUGAGUGUAAAUUGCGAUUCUUCAGGCCGGCUGACCAGGUGAAUCACCCGUCCCAUCUUUUGUCCAAGCACAGCCACCACCACUUUAUGGGGGGCACCUCAUGUUCUAGGCCACUUAUUAACAUUAACUGUACUCUAAAGAAGAGAGGAACUGGAGCCCGGCUUGGUGGCGCUGUAGUUCCAGCACUUGAGAGGCUGAGGCAGGAGGAUCACUGAGAGUUUGAGGCCACCCUGCGCUAC